rnacentral:rRNA from 1 species
GAUGAACGCUGGCGGCGUGCCUAAUACAUGCAAGUCGAGCGAACAGACGAGGAGCUUGCUCCUCUGACGUUAGCGGCGGACGGGUGAGUAACACGUGGAUAACCUACCUAUAAGACUGGGAUACCUUCGGGAAACCGGAGCUAAUACCGGAUAAUAUAUUGAACCGCAUGGAUCAAUAGUGAAAGACGGUUUUGCUGUCCUUUAUAGAUGGAUCCGCGCCGCAUUAGCUAGUUGGUAAGGUAACGGCUUACCAAGGCAACGAUGCGUAGCCGACCUGAGAGGGUGAUCGGCCACACUGGAACUGAGACACGGUCCAGACUCCUACGGGAGGCAGCAGUAGGGAAUCUUCCGCAAGGGGCGAAAGCGUGACGGAGCAACGCCGCGUGAGUGAUGAAGGUCUUCGGAUCGUAAAACACUGUUAUUAGGGAAGAACAAAUGUGUAAGUAACGAUGCACGUCUGGACGGUACCUAAUCAGAAAGCCACGGCUAACUACGU